UGCGUAGGCGGCGCGGUAAGUCGGGUGUGAAAUCUCGGAGCUUAACUCCGAAACUGCAUUCGAUACUGCCGUGCUUGAGGACUGGAGAGGAGACUGGAAUUUACGGUGUAGCGGUGAAAUGCGUAGAUAUCGUAAGGAAGACCAGUGGCGAAGGCGGGUCUCUGGACAGUUCCUGACGCUGAGGCACGAAGGCCAGGGGGAGCAAACGG
rnacentral:rRNA from 1 species